rnacentral:rRNA from 1 species
AAACCUCUGCAAUAGGCGAAAGCUGACAGGGUUAUUCUGAGUGACUUUCGCUAAGAAAGUCUUUUGACACCUCUAAAAAUGGUGUAGAAUAAGGGGUGGGCAAGUCUGGUGUCAGCCGCCGCGGUAAUACCAGCACCCCGAGUGGUCGGGACGAUUAUUGGGCCUAAAGCAUCCGUAGCCGGUUUCACAAGUCCUCCGUUAAAUCCAACUGCUUAACAGAUGGGCCGCGGAGGAUACUAUAAGACUAGGAGGCAGGAGAGGCAAGCGGUACUCAGUGGGUAGGGGUAAAAUCCGUUGAUCCAUUGAAGACCACCAGUGGCGAAGGCGGCUUGCCAGAAUGCGCUCGACGGUGAGGGAUGAAAGCUGGGGGAGCAAACCGGAUUAGAUACCCGGGUAGUCCCAGCUGUAAACGAUGCAGACUCGGUGAUGGACUAGCUUCAUGCUAGUCCAGUGCCGCAGGGAAGCCGUUAAGUCUGCCGCCUGGGUAGUACGGUCGCAAGACUGAAACUUAAAGGAAUUGGCGGGGGAGCACCACAAGGGGUGAAGCUGCGGUUCAAUUGGAGUCAACGCCGGGAAUCUUACCGGGGGCGACAGCAGAAUGAAGGUCAAGCUGAAGACUUUACUAGACAAGCUGAGAGGAGGUGCAUGGCCGUCGCCAGCUCGUGCCGUGAGGUGUCCUGUUAAGUCAGGUAACGAGCGAGACCCCUGCUUCUAGUUGCUACUUUUAUUCUUCGGAGUAGAAGGGCUAAUUAGAAGGACUGCCGCGCUAAGGCGGAGGAAGGAGGGGGCUACGGCAGGUCAGUAUGCCCCGAAACCCUCGGGCCACACGCGGGCUGCAAUGGUAAGUACAAUAGGUUCCGAUUUCGAAAGGAGGAGGCAAUCCGCAAAACUUACCACAGUUAUGAUUGAGGGCUGAAACUCGUCCUCAUGAAUAUGGAAUCCCUAGUAAUCGCGUGUCAUCAUCGCGCGGUGAAUACGUCCCUGCUCC